rnacentral:misc_RNA from 1 species
AUUUUACAAGAUAGUAAUGUAUACUCCACACAACUACUCAAUCUCAAAAUAUUAUAAUUUUAUAUAAGAAAAUUCAUUUAUAAGAAUAAUAGUACAACAACAAUAAUAAUGAUACUUUGAUAAACUCUUACCAUAAUACUCUUCCUAAUUUCCAAUAGUAAUAAUGUAAAUAAUUUAUUACUUAAUAAAGAGAGAGAGAGAGAGAGA